GGAGAGAUGGCCGAGUGGCUUAAGGCAACGGUCUUGAAAACCGUCGAUGGGAAACCAUCCCAGAGUUCGAAUCUCUGUCUCUCCGCCA
rnacentral:tRNA from 1 species